GGAAGAACGUAGCGAAAUGCGAUAAGUAGUGUGAAUUGCAGAAUUCAGUGAAUCAUCGAAUCUUUGAACGCACAUUGCGCCCCUUGGUAUUCCAUGGGGCAUGCCUGUUCGAGCGUCAUUUGUACCUUCAAGGUUUGCUUGGUGUUGGGUGUUUGUCUCGCCUUUGCGUGUAGACUCGCCUUAAAAUAAUUGGCAGCCGGCGUAUUGAUUUCGGAGCGCAGUACAUCUCGCGCUUUGCACUCAUAACGACAGCGUCCAAAAGUACAUUUUACACUCUUGACCUCGGAUCAGGUAGGGAUACCCGCUGAACUUAAGCAUAUCAAUAAGCGGAGGA
rnacentral:misc_RNA from 1 species